AUUGAACGCUGGCGGCAGGCCUAACACAUGCAAGUCGAGCGGAUGAAGGGAGCUUGCUCCUGGAUUCAGCGGCGGACGGGUGAGUAAUGCCUAGGAAUCUGCCUGCCAGUGGGGGAUAACGUCCGGAAACGGGCGCUAAUACCGCAUACGUCCUGAGGGUGAAAGUGGGGGAUCUUCGGACCUCACGCUAUCAGAUGAGCCUAGGUCGGAUUAGCUAGCUGGUGGGGUAAAGGCCUACCAAGGCGACGAUCCGUAACUGGUCUGCGAGGAUGAUCAGUCGCACUGGAGCUGGAACACGGUCCAGAGUCCUACGGGAGGCAGCAGUGGGGAAUAUUGGACAGUGGGCGGGAACCUGAUCCAGCCGUGCCGCGUGUGUGAAGAAAGUCUUCGGAUUGUAAAGCACUUUAAGUUGGGAGGAAGGGCAGUAAGUUAAUACCUUGCUGUAUUGACGUUACCAACAGAAUAAGCACCGGCUAACUUCGUG
rnacentral:rRNA from 1 species